GAUGAACGCUGGCGGCGUGCCUAACACAUGCAAGUCGAACGGAAAGACAGUAAGAUUGUGCCUUUACCGUUAGCGGCUGGCGGGCGAGUAACGAGUGCAUCGCCAACUUAUUUUUCGGGGAUGAUUACGUAAGACAGGAUACAAUACUACAGCAUAUGUUGUACCGCUGAGUGCAGUGGAUAAUCGCGGCUUUCGUGUCUGUUAUAGCUGAUUCCGCGCCGCAUUGGCUAGUUGGUAAGGUAACGGCAUACCAAGGCUACGAUGCGUAGCCGAUCUGAGAGGGUGAUCGGCCACACUGGAACUGAGACACGGUCCAGACUCCUACGGGAGGCAGCAGUAGGGAAUAUUGGGCAAUGGGCGCAAGCCUGACCCAGCCAUGCCGCGUGGGUGAUGAAGGCCUUCGGGUUGUAAAGCCCUUUUGUUGGGAAAGAAAAGCUGUAGAUUAAAACACGGCUGUUCUGACGGUACCCAAAGAAUAAGCACCGGCUAACUACGUG
rnacentral:rRNA from 1 species